rnacentral:rRNA from 1 species
UACGAAGGGGGCUAGCGUUGUUCGGAUUUACUGGGCGUAAAGCGCACGUAGGCGGUUUGUUAAGUGAGAGGUGAAAUCCCAGAGCUCAACUCUGGAACUGCCUUUCAUACUGGCAAGCUAGAGUCCGGAAGAGGUAAGUGGAACUCCUAGUGUAGAGGUGGAAUUCGUAGAUAUUAGGAAGAACACCAGUGGCGAAGGCGGCUUACUGGUCCGGAACUGACGCUGAGGUGCGAAAGCGUGGGGGAGCAAAACAGG